rnacentral:lncRNA from 1 species
AUGUGCCCAAAACCAGGAGGCCGGCCUUUCUCACCGCCGUGCCACACUUCAAGACCAACCAGCAGAAGCAAGCCUCCCCUCCCAGCCGUCGGCACUGCUCGGCUCCCCUCCCCAGACACUCUGCGAGGCACUUUAACGUUCGGAGUGGGGUCCCCUGUCCUCCCCUGCAACCCCGGGACAACUCGGGCCUGCCCGGCCUCCGCGCGCCCGGCGCCCUGGGGCUCUGGCACCCUGGCGGGACCAGCCUGCAGGCUCUCCCUGCGCGCCCCGCAGGACCCCGGGACAACUCGGGCCUCCCCGGCCUCCGCGCGCCCGGCGCCCUGGGGCUCUGGCACCCUGGCGGGACCAGCCUGCAGGCUCUCCCUGCGCGCCCCGCAGGACCCCGGGACAACUCGGGCCUCUCUGGCCUCCGCGCGCCCGGCGCCCUGGGGCUCUCGCACCCUGGCGGGACCAGCCUGCAGGCUCUCCCUGCGCGCCCCGCAGGACCCCGGGACAACUCGGGCCUCCCCGGCCUCUGCGCGCCCGGCGCCCUGGGGCUCUGGCACCCUGGUAGGACCAGCCUGCAGGCUCUCCCUGCGCGCCCCGCAGGACCCCGGAACAACUCGGGCCUCUCUGGCCUCCGUGCGCCCGGCGCCCUGGGGCUCUGGCACCCUGGUAGGACCAGCCUGCAGGCUCUCCCUGCGCGCCCCACAGGACCCCGGGACGACUCGGGCCUCCCCGGCCUCUGCGCGCCCGGCGCCCUGGGGCUCUCGCACCCUGGCAGGACCAGAACCCGGCUCAGCGCCUCCUGUGCGGGGCUGGAUCCUCCCCGGGAGUCCCGGCCAGUCCUCGGCCCCAGGCUCGGUCUUCCUGCGCUCCGUGGGAACAAGUCUCCACGCCUGGCGCUGCUGCCCCCACCCCUCACGCAAGGCUGAGCGCGAGCCCCGGCCACUGGGCGGGUCAGCAGCCAGAGCGGGACCAGGUCUCCUUCGGGAGCGGCGGGAACCCGGGGCUGUGCGCCUCGGCAGGAGGCCAGGCUCUCCCGGGUGUGGGCUGCGAGCCCGCGGCCGCUCGCGUCCCACCCAGGAGCGCCGGCCCCGGCCCGGCUGUCGCGCCCCGUCCGCCUGGGAAGCUCGGAGACCGGGAUGGAGCAGAGGACCCCGGAUUCUCCCCGGCCGGGCCCCGUGA